rnacentral:misc_RNA from 1 species
AUGAAAAUCACAUUACUUCCACACAACUACAUUUACUCUAGUUUCUGUUCUUAAUUGAAACUGUGGUUGAUGAGUUGAUCAAGGGGCACAUGUAUAUGCAAUUGUUUGUGCUUUGUGUACAACUUGACUUUGUCAACAGAAUUUUCUUUGCAUGUUAGUUGUCAAUUUAAUAUAUGAGAUGCCAUUCCCUGUGUAAUCCUUUAGGGAUUUUUUUUCCCUUAAUCAUUGAAUUUCUCAUCAUUUUCGUAAGUAUUGAUUGGCUAAUUUGCUUUCUGAUGUUUGA